rnacentral:rRNA from 1 species
UGGGGAAUAUUGCACAAUGGGCGCAAGCCUGAUGCAGCCAUGCCGCGUGUGUGAAGAAGGCCUUCGGGUUGUAAAGCACUUUCAGCGAGGAGGAAGGUGGUGAACUUAAUACGUUCAUCAAUUGACGUUACUCGCAGAAGAAGCACCGGCUAACUCCGUGCCAGCAGCCGCGGUAAUACGGAGGGUGCAAGCGUUAAUCGGAAUUACUGGGCGUAAAGCGCACGCAGGCGGUUUGUUAAGUCAGAUGUGAAAUCCCCCGGGCUCAACCUGGGAACUGCAUUUGAAACUGGCAAGCUAGAGUCUCGUAGAGGGGGGUAGAAUUCCAGGUGUAGCGGUGAAAUGCGUAGAGAUCUGGAGGAAUACCGGUGGCGAAGGCGGCCCCCCUGGACGAAGACUGACGCUCAGGUGCGAAAGCGUGGGGAGCAAACAGGAUUAGAUA